rnacentral:ncRNA from 1 species
UUAAAUGCAAUGAAAAGAAGAGUACGCAUGUUAAGGGUUUUAUAGAGAGUCUUGGUUUUGGUGAAACAAGAUAAACACAACAUGACGGAAGAUGGCCUUGGAGCAGGAUUGUUGAGUUUAAGGAUUAGACAAUCUCGGGUAUGCCCGUUAUCGCAUCUAAAGUAGUCAAAUACUUUGUGAGGUAUAUACUGUGAAGUAUGUAUAAAUUAAGGUGGUAACAUGAGAAGCACGCUCAUCCUUAGG